GCCUGGUUAUUGUGAUGUGUAUUGAUUGAAAAACCUGAGGAUAAUGUGUGAUUGCUAAAUAUAAUUAGUUGAAUCUGUCCCAGGAUGCUUUAAAGGCUUGUUUAGUGUUUAAAGAGUAAAAUGCUUGCUCCUGUUAAGUAAUGAGUUUGCUAAAUGUGAAAUGAUAUAGUUUGAAGCUCAUGAACUGAAAACAGAUUGAAAGUAAUGCAUUGUCUGAUGUUAAGUGAUGAUAGUAAUGCUUAGCCUAAGUUAUAAAUGAAUGUGUGAUGAAUUGUAUUGUUGCAUUCAUGAAUUAAAACUGAUUAAGGUUAGUGCAUACUGUCAAAUGGCUGUCUUACAUUGAAGCAUUAGAUUCAUGUCUAAAUGCUG
rnacentral:lncRNA from 1 species